rnacentral:tRNA from 1 species
GAGGGUAUAGCUCAGUGGCAGAGUGCAUGCUUAGCAUGCAGAAGGUCCUGGGUUCAAUCCCCAGUACCUCUA